rnacentral:rRNA from 1 species
GAGAAGUCGUAACAAGGUUUCCGCUUGUUGAGAGGAUGCCUUUUGCGGCGCAUUUGAUGCUCCGCAGGAGUCGCUACUUUAGUAGCUUAUAGAAAUACAUAUGACAACCGUUGCUAUACUGACUCGUGUGGUUUCGGUAGAUGGUUGAUUCCGUAGCCAUUCGCAAGUUUGGUUCUGGGUCGACUUGUAACGGACCAAAACGCGUCAUUAAUGUGACGGCACGUCAGAUUACUAAAUUUUACACUUUUAGCGGUGGAUGUCUUGGCUCACACAACGAUGAAGGACGCAGCGAAUUGCGAUAAGCAUUGUGACUUGCAGACUUCUGCGAAUCAACAGAUUUCUGAACGUAUUAGACACACCACCUCUGCUUGCACGUGGUACUCCCAUUUCAGUGAACCUCAUCUUCUAACAAACAACCGCUUUGCUAAGUUGUUGCAUUACACCGGCUGUUUGUUGUGAGUAGUGACCCUCAGAGGCCAUUAGUUUUAGUUAAACUCGUGUCUGUGUGCACGGCCACUGUUUACAGUGGUGUGGAACUUUUGAUGUAACUUGUUACUCGUGUUCUGCUUUGUGUACAUUUUCACAUAGUUUAGCAUCCCAUUUUACAUGUGAUUGGUUUGCGUAGCAUCCCUUUCUAUAUAUGUAAAUUCGGGUUUAUCAUUUAGUUCUUGAGAUUGGGUGAGACUAUCCACUGAAUUUAAACAUAUAACUAAGUGGAAGAAAAGAAAAUAAAUAUGAUUCCCCUAGUAACGGCGAGUGAAGC